rnacentral:lncRNA from 1 species
UAGGUUGAAAUUUUGAGGGGGAAAUCGAAAUGUAAGACGGUCGAAAUAGCCGUUUGAAAAGGAGAAUCAAAUCUCUGAAAUAUGCAGAAAAUCAGAUGUUCUGAGAGGUGUUCUUGGCUCUUUGUGUCGCGAGACUUAUUUGACCAACUCUGCCGUAGAUUAGAGCAUAUGAAAUGGUGAGAGAGAGAGAGGAAUUACACAAAAAUGUCUGUGGUCAAACUCUGCCAUCACUGAGAAGGCUGAAACUUGUACACAAAUGGAGGAGAGAGAGGUAAGCGUUGCCG